UACGUAGGGGGCGAGCGUUGUCCGAAGUUACUGGGCGUAAAGCGCGCGUAGGCGGUCCUUUAAGUCUGGGGUGAAAGGUUCAGCGCUCAACGUGAACAGUGCCUUGGAUACUGGGGGACUUGAGUAUCGGAGAGGGAAGCGGAAUUCCGGGUGUAGCGGUGAAAUGCGUAGAUAUCCGGAGGAACACCGAUGGCGAAGGCAGCUUCCUGGCCGGUAACUGACGCUGAGGCGCGAAAGCGUGGGGAGCAAACAGG
rnacentral:rRNA from 1 species